rnacentral:rRNA from 1 species
AGAGUUUGAUCAUGGCUCAGAACGAACGCUAGCGGCGCGCUUUAAGCAUGCAAGUCGAGCGGUAAGGCCUUCGGGUACACGAGCGGCAAACGGGUGAGUAACACGUGACUAUCUACCUUAGGGUGGGGGAUAGCCUGUGGAAACGCAGGGUAAUCCCGCAUAUUCCCUUUUGGGCAAAACUACGGUGCCCUAAGAUGAGGUCGCGGCUCAUUAGCUAGUAGGCGGGGUAAUGGCCCACCUAGGCUUUGAUGAGUAGCCGGACUGAGAGGUUGGCCGGCCACAUUGGGACUGAGACACGGCCCAGACUCCUACGGGAGGCAGCAGCUAGGAAUCUUCCGCAAUGGGCGCAAGCCUGACGGAGCGACGCCGCGUGUACGAUGACUGCCUAUUGGGUUGUAAAGUACUUUUAUCUAUGAAGAGGGCUAGACAUUAGGUUUAGUUGACGGUAAUAGGUGAAUAAGCCCCGGCUAAUUCCGUGCCAGCCGCCGCGGUAAUAC